AAAAAAAAAAAUGGAAUUAGUGAGUGGUGAAGCAAUGUUCCUUAUGGAUAAAACUAUACUAUAUAUUUGCGUGGAUAAACUUCCUACAUUCUGCAUUUUCUCUCGAUCCAAACGCUAUCGAGAAAAUUUGCCAGAAAAAUUUAGUAUACUUUUAAAUACGAUAGAUACAAACGUCGCGUCACCUUCUCUCUCUAUUGUUGUCAAAGAAUUACCGGAGAAACAAACAAAAUUUCGCUUGUCAGAAACUCUUUGCAAGUGCAGAAGGUUAAAUUGAUAAGUUCUUCUCCAGUCAACCGGCGUUGUAGAUAGAAGUUUGUGUGUUUAUCCACUUACCUCGUUUUUAGCAAUAUGAAUUUGAAAAUUUUCUUAGCGGAUUAGGCUAAAAAGAUUUUUAAAAAAGUUUUAUUUGGUUAUAUUGGGGUUGUUUUUUUUCUCCCUUUUUUUUUUUUUUGGUUUUCGAGAAAGGAAAUUAGAAUGAUGAGAAGUCAGCAGCAAGAUCAGCAACAAGAUCAGCAAUCAAGAAUUUUCUACGAGCUGUCCGCUCUGGUUCUCAAUCUGCUUCGUUCACCUCCUUCGCCGAUCCCGUUCUCUGACCAAUCCUCGGCGAUUCCAUCUGAUUCUUCGAGGAGGAGGUCAUCGGCGCCGCCCCAGAUCUCGCCGGCGGGCUUCGCAUCGUUGAUGCUGGGGAUUUCGAUGGCUUUGAUGCUGUGUGGUUCGGUCACGUUCUUUAUUGGGUUCAUGUUGAUGCCUUGGGUUCUUGGAUUGGUUAUGGUUUUUUAUGUGGCUGGGAUUGUUUCUACCAUCUCCAUGUUGGGCCGUUCCCUUUUUUGCUACGCCUUGGCCCCCUCGUCUUCGAGAAAGGAGAUUCCUGGUAAGUAACUUAACGGUUUAUUUUCAAUUACGUCUUUUUUGUCGGUUCUAGAUUUCAUUACUGACUUGUUGGGGAAAUAUCUGUUGCAAUUGCCUCUCCUUUUUGUUUAAAGGUUUUGGCUUUUCCUUCUCAAAUUUGUCUGGAUGUUGUUCUAUUCCCCUCCUUCUUUUCUGUUUUUUCCUUUAGCUUUCGAGUGUCAAAUUUCACAUAUUUCGUCUCAUCUGUUCUCUUAUCUUUUUGUAAAUAAAAUUGUGGUGUUCUGAAUCUAUUACGACGGUGAAAAUUGGGAACUCUCUGCAAUUUUGUGCAGAGUAUUAUUAUUAUUAUUAUUAUUAUUCAGAUUUCUUACCGUUUUUCCACGUUAUUUUAGCUCAGUUAAGAAUGAAAAUAGAAAAUCAGCGUCGAGUUUAUUAGAGGAUGCUAACAGAAUUUCUCCAGCCACAAUCUGCUAGUUCUUAAUUCAUGGGUCUUGGGUUCUCUUUUUAGACUCAGCAAUCCUAUGAUUAAUAAGCCUGCGAGAUAGUCCCCAAUCUUUGUCUUCUGUCAGAUGUGUUUUCAUGUGCCAUAAGAUUGGAGCUUCUGGGCAUUCAUGGUUAGAUUAGCUAGAUUGGCAGGAUCGCUGAACCAAACCUGUAAACCAGGUUUUCCACUCGAGUGGGAUGCCUUUUAUUGAUCUUGCCCACCGUCCUUCAUUUAUGGGAAAACUGCAUUUACUCACCUUUCAACAUCCCUUGUCCUGCUGUAGAUGCCAUCAAUCAUAGUGUGUUUAUGCUACUCAAGCAUGGAAACUUUUGUGAAGAUGAGGGGGUUGUUCAAAGAGUUUCAGGAAGGAUUAUGCAGCAGUCAUAUUCUAGUGAGUGGUGCUGCUGCUAGAGACGUACAGGGAAUGUGAGAAAGUACCCAGCUUUUUCAAGUAUUGAAGCAGGAAUUAUGGAUAAACAGUUUUUCCUGAUGACUGAAAAUUUGUGGAUAUGGCUUCUUUAUUAAGUAAAAAAAUAGUGAAUCGUUGAAGGUUUUAAGAACUAAUAUUUUAAUGAAUUCCUACUUGUUAGAAGAAA